rnacentral:rRNA from 1 species
UACGGGGGGGGCAAGCGUUGUUCGGAAUUACUGGGCGUAAAGGGCUCGUAGGUGGCCAACUAAGUCAGACGUGAAAUCCCUCGGCUUAACCGGGGAACUGCGUCUGAUACUGGAUGGCUUGAGUUUGGGAGAGGGACGCGGAAUUCCAGGUGUAGCGGUGAAAUGCGUAGAUAUCUGGAGGAACACCGGUGGCGAAGGCGGCGUCCUGGACCAACACUGACACUGAGGCGCGAAAGCCAGGGGAGCAAACGGG